AUGCCCCCCACCCGUAGAAGCCAGGUGGCACUGUUUAAUCACCAGAAGCCAGGAGGCUGCAAUUACAAUAAUUGCAAGGCGAGGUCAGCAGAGUAGCAGAGGGGGCGUCAUCCUCAGGGAGCUGUAGACAUUUGGUUAAUAGACAUAGCAUCCCUGGGGGCAAAACAGAUGAGCUGUCAAGAAGGAUGCUGCUUAACAUCUAUAACCGAAAGAGGCAAAAAUGCAGGAGCAGAGGCGUGAGGGCAAUUGCUCCAAUAAAAAGUAACGAGCUCUUACUCGUUUCCCUGAGCCAGUUUUCAAAUCUGGAACCCAUUGACUAACAAAGUGGCCGGUGCCUAGAAGAGGGAACUUGCAGCUAUUACAGGACUGCAAUGAUUCUCCCAGUACUUCCCUCAGAGGCAGCGAUGGCCAUUUACUCAGCUCACUGUGCACUGAGGUAGGAGGAGCACCAGAAUAGCUGGAGGACUGCGGUCUGAGUCGACAUUAAGGCAUUAUCAUGGCCCUUGAGUAAAGUCAGAACUUAUUGGCUCUUUACAAUAAAUGAAGCCCUGGCUAAAGUCCAGCUUACAACGGAGAACUGGGAGUGACUCAGUGUUCAUUUCUCCAGUGCUCAGAGCUGUGUUAACCUCCUGCCCUCUAUCACAAAAUAAUACAAAGAGGUCUGAACCACAUAAAUAUCCCCAGAGUACCACGUUAAUCCCUGUAUUGAAGAGAUCAUGCCAACUGGAGAGAACAAGAGACAGCUAGUACCCUGGACAGCUUAACAAGACAUGGUGUUUUCAUGAAGUGUGUGUUAAGACCUGUGAAGAUUCGAGCUGCUGCUGCUACUAAGUCAUUCAGUCGUGUCCGACUCUGUGCGACCCCAUAGACGGCAGCCCACCGGGCUCCCCCGUCCCUGGGAUUCUCCAGGCAAGAACACUGGAGUGGGUUGCCAUUUCCUUCUCCAAUGCAUGAAAGUGAAAAGUGAAAGUGAAGUCACUCAGUCAUGUCCGACUCUAGCGACUGGACUCAUGGACUGCAGCCUACCAGGCUCCUCCAUCCAUGGGAUUUUCUAGGCAAAAGUACUGGAGUGGGGUGCCAUUGCCUUCUCCGGAAGAUUCGAGAGGCAUGCCUAAAUUGAGAAAAUUUAGGGAUGUAAUAGGC
ensembl:lncRNA